GACGAACGCUGGCGGCGUGUCUAAUACAUGCAAGUCGAACGAAGCUGUUUUAACUGGUGCUUGCACCGACUUAAACAACUGAGUGGCGAACGGGUGAGUAACACGUGGGUAACCUGCCCCAAAGCGGGGGAUAACAUUUGGAAACAGAUGCUAAUACCGCAUAACCACAGAAACCACAUGGUUUCUGUGUCAAAGAUGGUUUCGGCUAUCACUUUGGGAUGGACCCGCGGCGUAUUAGCUAGUUGGUAAGGUAAUGGCUUACCAAGGCAAUGAUACGUAGCCGAACUGAGAGGUUGAUCGGCCACAUUGGGACUGAGACACGGCCCAAACUCCUACGGGAGGCAGCAGUAGGGAAUCUUCCACAAUGGACGAAAGUCUGAUGGAGCAACGCCGCGUGAGUGAGGAAGGUUCUCGGAUCGUAAAACUCUGUUGUCAGAGAAGAACGUGUGCGAGAGUAACUGUUCGUGCAGUGACGGUAUCUGGCCAGAAAGCCACGGCUAACUACGUGCCAGCAGCCGCAGUAA
rnacentral:rRNA from 1 species